ACUGCUCUUCAGCAGUGAGGUCUGUCACUGUAGCUUUCAGCCUGAUGAUGCUCUGCUUUUGCUUCUCAAUUCAUUUCUCUCUAUUAUCAGAGCCACAUCUAAAAUUGCUACACCUCCUCUGUUUUUUCUUCACUUUCUCAGAGCAAGACCUUGUCUCCAAUGUAUUCUAGGAGUGCGAAGAAACACUGGAUAUUGAAGACUUGCACUUUCCAGCAGGUAUCCCAUUCUUGGAUAUUUUUUACAGCUAUUGGAUGAGCAACAUGUAACUCAGUGUAGCGCCUGAAUGCACAUGGGCCAGAUCCUCCACCUGCUUAUAGUCAAAGGAGAAGGAACAUCAGCACCAAGAUCCAAGAUGAGCACCUAAACCAUCGUGGCCAGCGCUCUGAACAGAAAGGGUGUGCUUUCAACCCGCAGAUAUAUUCACUGGGACGCCAUCGCCAGCCAGCCUGUUAGGGGACAGAAAACAGCAAGACCGCAGCCGCUGGACGUGGCGGUUGAGCUCGGAGAUCUCCUGCUUGGUGGUGCGGAGGUCAUCCCCAUGCCUGCCUGCUGUAGCCUGCAGCUCUUCGUACUGUCACCAAGAGAGAGGAACAAUUACCCAAGGGAAAAGCCAUCCUUUAUGGAGUCAUCCAGGUGCCUGAAAGCACAGGUCCCUCCUCGAGCUUAGACUAGCAACUGUGCAAGAUGCAAUAUCUGAGACAGUUUUCUUGGAAGAGUUGUUCUUUAUCUGUUCAAGACAAAACAUGAAGAUAACAGCACGGAAACCCCCAGGUUCUUCACCUUGGUUUGGUACCAGGACUCUGCUUCAGCCCUGCUCCGGUUGGCGAUGUCCUCAUACUGCGCUUUGACCUCUGAGAUGAUGCUGUCCAGGUCCAGGUUUCGGUUGUUGUCCAUGGUGAGAACGACAGAGGUGUCGGAGAUCUGCGUCUGCAUCUGUGACAGCUCCUGCAAAGUGCAUAGGGGAUUAGGUGAGCUCAUUCCAUUGGGAGAUGCCUUCAUCCUUUCAGAUGAGCGUGCAGACCUGGCAGAGGCUACAGAUUGUUAUCUAGCCAGCUAAGACGGUUGAUGUAACUCUAAAGAGAUAAAGGAGUUAGCAUCUCCUGGGGGAAGAAAUUACAGGGUUUCAGGGGGAAGCUCUUAACUGAGGGUUGCAAUGGCUUGGGAGGGGGUUGUACUCACUGCUUCAUAGAGGGCUCUCAGGAAAUUAAUUUCUUCAGUCAGCGCAUCUACCUUGGCUUGUAGUUCCACUUUGUUCAUAUAGGCAGCAUCUACAUCCUGGAGGAUGAGAGAUUUAUGUUAUGUGUCUUAAACUCCUAUUAAGUCAGGAACAAGCACGUCCCUGUAAUAACAACACAGGGAAAAGCUUUUGAAAUCUGCAUGGAUGGAUUUGUGACUGAGCAGGCGAUCAGAGCUCUAUCAAUAUUCAUCAGAUGGUGGUCUGCCGUUUUCUCUCACCUUCUUGAGCGUCACAAACUCAUUCUCUGCAACCGUGCGCCUGUUGAUUUCAUCUUCAUACCUGAUGGAAGGAGGCAGAGGGAGCAUUUGUUUAGGCAAGUAACAGACGGAGGUGAUUUUAGUUUGCUGGAAUGAAUUUCCUUAAGAGAAUUUUGCAUACAAUGGUCUUUUCUCCUAUAGAACACCUGAAUAAGAGACCAUGAGCACGUUCCUAGGCUAAACUAGUUAAAACAAGUACAUCAAAUAAAUUUGAAAGAAUCUAUUCUUUUCUCCUAUUUCUGGCCGUUAGUCAGACUCCUCCUGCCUCUCAGGCAAAUUCAGCUGUCCUGGAACUCUCAGACCUAGCAUGUAAUUUCUCUCUUCUUUUUCUCAGUAGGUAAUUUAGUUAAUGACUCUUUGAUCAUAUUCGAAACAAUUCCCUAAGUGUUUGUGUAUUCGGAUCUGUGACUCCAUUACCAUUUAUCUCAAGAAAAUGUCACAACCCUCACUGUUGGGAAUUCCUGUGUCCCGGACUCUCCUGGAUCUCCCAGUUGGCUUAAGGAUGUUGAAUGGAGAAAGGCUGCACCUACACAGGUAAGUAGCCCGCUAGCUCGGUAAACUUACUUCUUCUUGAAAUCCUCAACCAGGUACUGUGUGUUGACGAGCUCUCCCUCCAGCCUUCCCUUGUCGCUCAGCAAACUGUUCAGUUGCAUCCUGAGGUUGUUGAUGUACGUCUCAAAAAGCGGCUCCAAGUUGUUCUUCACUGUUUUCAUCCCCUGCUCCUGGAGCAGGCUCCACUUGGUUUCCAGCACUUUGUUUUGUUGCUCAAGGAAUCGGACCUGCAAGCAGAAAUAUCCUGAAGAUGCUUUGAAAGAGCAGAGAUUACGGAGAGCUUUCCUUGCAAAUGGGGGAUCUCAGGAUUAGCUGAGGUGCUGGAACACUCCUUACAGCUGAUUUUCAUAGUCAGAUUCUCCUCUGCUAGAAGAAGGAAUUUGCUGUUUGGCUGCAGGGACCCUACUCAGUGUUGCAAACAAGCUAUGGAACGAAUGACUGCUGAUUUUCUAUCACUGUGCUUGAUGAAUCAAGGUAAGGUGCAUGCAUUUUGUGUAAAGACUGCACGCAAAGCGAGAUAAGGAGCAAGACAUGGUUUGCACUCUUGCUAAAAACCCAAUAGUAAAGUGCCAUUUCUCCCUGCUUUCAGUAUAGCUUCCCCACCCUACAAAAGCUCCACAAUGAUGCAGUGUUUUCCUUGAAACCAAAGAGGAGCUGCUCAACCGGAGCAGAAGUCAAGCAGUUGCUCUUGUGCAUCUAAUACAGUUAACAAGGAAAUGAAGUGGACAGACAGUGUCAGAUCAGAUUUUUCUACUUUGAAACAUGCUGCCCAAGCAUGUUUCAUAACAGUUCA